UACGGGGGGUGCGAGCGUUGUCCGGAUUCACUGGGCGUAAAGGGCGCGUAGGCGGCCUCGUCAGUCGGGCCUGUAAGUGCGGGGCUCAACCCCGUGAUGGGCUCGGGACGGCGGGGCUGGGGCGCGGCAGAGGGAGACGGAAUGCCGGGUGUAGUGGUGAAAUGCGUAGAGAUCCGGCGGAACACCGGUGGUGAAGGCGGUCUCCUGGACCAACACUGACGCUGAGUGAGCGAAAGCCAGGGGAGCAAACGGG
rnacentral:rRNA from 1 species